rnacentral:misc_RNA from 1 species
GAUGAAGAACGCAGCGAAAUGCGAUAAGUAAUGUGAAUUGCAGAAUUAAGUGAAUCAUCGAAUCUUUGAACGCACAUUGCGCCCGUCAGUAUUCUGGCGGGCAUGCCUGUUCGAGCGUCAUUACGCCCCUCAAGUCCCCUGUGGACUUGGUGUUGGGGAUCGGCGAGGCUGGUUUUCCAGCACAGCCGUCCCUUAAAUUAAUUGGCGGUCUCGCCGUGGCCCUCCUCUGCGCAGUAGUAAAACACUCGCAACAGGAGCCCGGCGCGGUCCACUGCCGUAAAACCCCCCAACUUUUUAUAGUUGACCUCGAAUCAGGUAGGACUACCCGCUGAACUUAAGCAUAUCAAUAAGCGGAGGA